GAUGAACGCUGGCGGCGUGCUUAACACAUGCAAGUCGAACGGAAAGGCUCCUGCUUGCAGGGGUACUCGAGUGGCGAACGGGUGAGUAACACGUGGGUGAUCUGCCCUGCACUUCGGGAUAAGCCUGGGAAACUGGGUCUAAUACCGGAUAGGACGAUGGUUUGGAUGCCAUUGUGGAAAGUUUUUCGGUGUGGGAUGAGCUCGCGGCCUAUCAGCUUGUUGGUGGGGUAAUGGCCUACCAAGGCGUCGACGGGUAGCCGGCCUGAGAGGGUGUACGGCCACAUUGGGACUGAGAUACGGCCCAGACUCCUACGGGAGGCAGCAGUGGGGAAUAUUGCACAAUGGGCGCAAGCCUGAUGCAGCGACGCCGCGUGGGGGAUGACGGCCUUCGGGUUGUAAACUCCUUUCGCUAGGGACGAAGCGCAAGUGGCGGUACCUGGUGAAGAAGCACCGGCUAACUACGUG
rnacentral:rRNA from 1 species